rnacentral:rRNA from 1 species
AGUGAACGCUGGCGGUAGGCCUAACACAUGCAAGUCGAACGGCAGCACCGUAAGAGCUUGCUCUUACGGGUGGCGAGUGGCGGACGGGUGAGGAAUACAUCGGCAUCUACUCUUUCGCGGGGGAUAACGUAGGGAAACUUACGCUAAUACCGCAUACGCCCUACGGGUGAAAGCAGGAGAACGUCGGACCUUUCGCUAUUGAAUGGGGCGGGGUCUGAUUGGCUAGUUGGCUGGGUGACGGCCAACCAAGGCGACGAUCCGUAGGUGGUCUGAGAGGAUGGCCCCCCAGAAUGGAACUGAGGCACGGUCCACACACGGACGGCAGGAGGGGGUGAUGUUGAGUGGUGGGCGGGAGCGAGCCCGAACCAGCCAAGUGGGGUGAAGGAGGCCUGCGGUUUGGAAAGUCCUCUUGUUGGAAAAGAAGAGAAGGUGAGGAACGCCCCCUUGUUUGCAGGUACCCCAUAAAUAAGGCCCGGCUAAUUUCGUG